CCUGUAUCUGAAAAGAGAAAAAGAAAAUGCUAAAAAGAAGACAAAACAUAACCAAAAGGCGUUUAACACGAGGAAAUCCAAGAAGACACUUCAUAUUGAUCAGUAAGGCGUGUGGCAGGAAACUUGUAGUCGCAGUAUGUACCCAUACCAUUAUAUGAGAAGCAGAUGUAAUGGGCUGAUCAGUAUCCACCCCUUGACUUAACCCCUCCCUAGUCUAUAAAUAUAGAGAUCAAUGUACGUGCUCGACAAAACGUCUUACUUUAACCACUGCGUUGCCAGAACAAGACACACCAAUUGGAGAGUGUGACAAGUAAACCACUCCCUUCUCAAAGCAUUGAGAGUUGUAGAGUGGACUUUACACCUGUCUGACAUCCAGAGCGGAACGUAAUCUACAGACAGCAGCAAUGCCACUGUUCACCAGGGCCCUUGGCCUUCUACGCCAGGCAAGAUCUCCCCGAGUUAUGAACAAGGCUUGGGCAUCACAAGGUGCCAAACCCCAGGAGGCGACUGUAGUGGAACAAGCAAUUGGCCUUGGUGCGUUCUUCUCUGUAUUCUUAAUUCCCUCUGGCUGGAUCCUGGCACACUUGCAAGACUACAAGGGCAGACCAGAAUAGAGGAAGUUACCUGUCCUGUGUGGAGUCUAUGGCACUGGAUGAUGGUGGGAAGUGAACAGCUUAGGAUCGAAUAAACUGCGUUGUCCAUAUCUGCUCCUGGGUGUCCUGCUUACCAACUCUAUUUUUUGUACUUAAUAAAAUUUAUCUUAAUCCAA